UACGGGGGGGGGCAAGCGUUGUUUCGGAAUUACUGGGCGUAAAGGGCUCGUAGGCGGCCAACUAAGUCAGACGUGAAAUCCCUCGGCUUAACUGGGGAGGGUCAUUCGAUACUGAUCGACUCGAAGGCAGGAGAGGGUAGUGGAAUUCCCGGUGUAGUGGUGAAAUGCGUAGAUAUCGGGAGGAACACCGAUGGCGAAGGCAGGUCUCUGGGCCGAUACUGACGCUGAGGAGCGAAAGCGUGGGGAGCGAACAGG
rnacentral:rRNA from 1 species